AGAAGAAGAAGAAAUUUAGAAAGUUUUCAUCCUGUAUUCUGUGUGUGUUUCCUUGUAGUUUUAAGUUAAUAAAGUUUUUUUUCCUUCAAUCUUAAGUUAGAACCUGCUCUGCUCUGUCUCUGAUCACAUCUCACAGUAAAUACCAAAGAAAGAAGUAUUCUCAUAAAAGCACUAACAUUGCGCCAAGCUCAAACAAUAACAUACCUUAACACAUGAUUGUUCAGAAAUUGUGCAAUAGCAAACUGAAGUUCAGGAGGAUCUAGCAGAACACGCCCUCCUAGAGAGGGAAAAGAUAUAUUUUGAUGGUUCAUCCAAAUGCUUAUUAAAGAAAAAGAAUACCUGGGAACACCAGGAUGAAGGUUGUUGGGGUUGUGGGGUGUUUGAGCGCUCUUGUGCGAGCAGCAGAGUCUCGGGGCUGUGGCAGGGGCUGAUCCAUGUGGGUGGCUCGGCGAGGGAACUUCCAGUGUUUGCCCACCCGGUGGAGGCAGCGCGGGGCGCGGGUUUGUGCGGGGAGCCGCUGGGGUUCGGGAGCUGGAUUGGUGGUGCCGGGGUCUCAGAGGGUGUGGGGUUGCCGGACACGUUCACCAGCCCGGCAGAGGUGCUGGGCACGGUUUGCACAGUUUGCCGCUGAGGAGCGGGGCUGGCUGAGUGACGGAGCUGCCGGGGCGUUGGCUCCCAGCCUGCUGGGGUCCCCAGUCUGGGGCAGCAGCCUCAACCCCAGUAGGUGGUCGAGAGAGAGAAAGAAGGGGUGAAAGGGGGGGUGAGGCAUGCCCCCAGGGUCCCUGCAGAGGUGGCUGUCUGCGAGCCCCCCCGCUCCCAGAGUGAGCCGCUGGCUCGCCCUUGCCGGGGCUGCUGCGGUGCGGUGGCGGCAGCAGGGAGAAACAAGGGACAGCGCUGAAGGCACUGCUGUGAGUGAAGAGAGAGAGAAGGGGGGGCGGUGUGAGAAUAAGCGAUAAGACCAAGGCACAGAUAGCCUUAAUCUCUCGCUAAUUCUCAAAACCUCGCCAAGUCGUUUACUUUUGUUUUCUUAAGGCAAGACUCUUUUUUCCUUUCUUUUUCUUUCUUCUUUUUUCGCUGUUAGGAUGGGGGUUUUUGCUCUGAGAAGUUUUUAGAAGAAUGGGUCUGUGAAGGCUAAACAGCUAAAUAAUUACCUCAGAGGGUAAAAGGCAGUAGAUGUUAACACUGGCCUGGAAUUUUGGUUUUGUUUUUUUGUCGUUUUGAUUUGGUUUGGGUCUUUUGCGUUUUUUGUUUGUUUGUUUUGGGGUUUGUUUUGGUUUUUUGUUUGUUUGUUUGUUUUCUGGGUUUGGGGGUUUCUUUUUUGUUUUGUUUAACUAAUUGUGGCUCACAAGAAGAGGAAUUUGCCUCUGAGUUUUCCCUUCAGUGCUGUUGAGGCUUCCUGCCUUAGCAAGAAGGCAGCAUCCUAAGCACGGCAAGUCCCUUUUUCUCUAGGAGAACUGUCCUUUAUGUUGUUAGUGUUCAGGAUCACAUAAUCACGAGUAAUGAUUAUAUGCAGGUGCUUUUAUUGAAGAGCUCUGGGUGUCAGGGGUACAAACCCAAAUCUGACUCCGACAUAGGUUUGGGAUGGAUAUGCUUUUAUAUUCUAUCGUUAUUUAACUUUCAUGUUAAUUAUUAAACUUACAUUGUUCUAUUGUAUACAUAGAUUUCAGCCAAGCAUGGCCACCUUAGACUAGGAACAUACAGUUUCUCAUUGUUCUUCUUAUGAUUAUACAAUAAUUAUUUUCAUUACUAAACAAUCAUCACAUCUAGCAAUUAUACUACUUACGCAGGUAAAACACAAGGCUUAACAUUUCAGAGUUUUAUCUUAGCAUUUCUCCAGGGCCCCACUAUCAACGUGAUCCCAAGAGCUGAACAGCUUAGUGCAGCUGAAGACCCAGCUGGGUACAAAAAGAACAAGCAGCUGUGGCCAAAAAAACCCCAAAAAAACCAACUUGUUGCUAAACCCAGAAAGUUUUGAAGAAUUCUAAUGGCAAAUCCUGAUGUAGAGCUGCCUUUCUUCCAGUCACGCUUCCUGUGCUAUUAAAAAGUCCUUUUCAGGUACUACUGACAACUGAGGCAGCAAUCCGAGCCAAGGGAAAAGAGAGUGGAUCCAGGCCAGCAGAAUCAAAGGAGCUGUGAAGGAACCUGAGGAGUGGACUAGCACAUUUAAACUGGGAAGUGUCGAGUACCAAAUCUAUCCCCUGUCCAGACAGAACUCAAAACAACUGAAAUAAUAACUUUGUUUUGUGGAUGGGAAUUAUUAGUGCCUGUUGAGUGGGAGAUACCUGAGGAAUGGUGGGAAACCACAAUUAUGGAGUGUCAAAAACGAUUUGCCUGGAAAUUAGCAAAAAGGGGGUGACAAGGAGAAGAGGGCAAGAGUGGAUUGGCCACUGUACUCUCCACCGAGAAGAUCAGAUACCCCUGCUGUGGGCAGCACCCCCAUAGGCAUGGCAGGUGGGGGUAUAAGCCAUACCAGACCUCUGUUAUUCCUUUUUCUGUCACUCAUCUUCUGUCUUUUCCCUUUAGGGAUACCAGCAAAAUCGUGUCACAAAUGCUAUCAAAAGCAUUACAUGGAAAGAAAUCAAAGUUCCUCUUUUAUUACACACACCCAUGUCAGCAGUCACUGCUAUGACCCAUCCAAAUUAAGUACCUGCAUGCAAAACGGGGGAAAUACUGCAUUGAGAGAAACUUAGGAAAAAGUGGGAAUAGAUUGGGAAGUGAAUGUCCAAAAGGGAAGAGAUGGAUUUGUUUCAUAUUUGCCCUUAAGGGUGGAGGCCAAGAUUUGGUAAAAGAACAAUCAGUAAACAGAAAGGUAAAACCAGCACAGCAAUCUAACUCUGUAUCAGCCCCAAUCAAUAUGCUGAAUCGUAUUAUAGGACUCCAAACAGUUGUAGAGAUAAUAACAAACAUAACCAGCUGCGCAUUAGAAUUAACAGCCAAACAAAACUCAUAAUGUAUCAGAAGGGAUUGGCUUUAGACGAUCUACUGGCUAAAGAAGGGGGUGUUUGUGGAAAAUUUAAUAUAUCAGGUUGCUGAAAAUAGGUGAUCCCAAGGAAAAAUAGCCCAUGUACUGGUCCAAAAUUGGGACCCAAUGUUAAAAACACUAGCUGGUGGGAUAAUGCAUUGGGGAUAGAAUGGUGGAAGAAAUUAGGCUUCUUCCUUUUCUGUGCUACAGCUGCUUGGAUAUUUCUUUCAUGUUUGAUUCCUUUUUUUAUUCAGCUAAUUACCAGCAAAGUCCAAAGCAUAAGAAAUAUUGCUCAAGCCAAAUGAUUUAUAAAGAAUAAGAGGAGGAUUUGUUAUUAAUGCGUAUUAUAGUAUUGGCUUUUCACAAACAGUAAGAUGAACGCUAUAUGUACAAUGUUAUAAUCACUUUGCUUUUAUUUCUGCUAUUAACAAAAACUUAGACAUAGUAGUGGUGGUAGCUGAUCUAGUUAGGAGUGAACUGUCUGUUUGGUAGGGAUAACAUCCGGUGAACAUGGCAUGAGCACCCUGCUGUUGAUAUGCUAACUAUCAGCAUCUGCCGUCUGAAGAAAGUGUGGACCAAGGCCCAGAGUGGAAGUGAUCAAGAGAGGGAACCAAAACCACAGCCAAGAAACACUCAUGCUCUAAAAAGGCAGGCCAGGGAGGAGUCAUGUAAAAUAGCUCCUAGAAUAUGUAAACUAGCUUAUGGAUAUGCAUAAGGGUCUCUGAGUGUGCAACAGACUGAUGUGAUGGAAGAGGUAUUUAAGGGGUAUCCCAACAGUAAGUGUGCUCUUGGCUGAGUGCCAAGAUGCACCCAGCCACAAUCUUCGCUUUACUGACUCUGUUUCUUAUUGUCCUUUAUUAAACUUUUAAAUUUUAACAGGAAA